CUUUCCCCUAGAGGCAUUGCAGGUGUGGCUGCUGUGUCACAUGUGCGCCAGUAGGUGGCAGAGGAGAAAGGUUAUGUCUACCCUCAGUGUUCUGACCUAUGAACAUCUGAAUGAUUAGUAGUCUAACAUU